AUCUCUGGUGGUAGAGAAAUAUUGUGGAUUAAGGACAUGACAGUGGAAGCCCUCAUCCUUCAAGCUGAAGACCGCUCAGAGCUCCUCAUCACAAGACAAAUUUUUAAUGCUGUGGAACUAUCAAUAUAUCAGAAACUGCCAAUGGAGAUGGGCUGAGAAACCAAGAUCAGACAGAGCUGUUGCCUCUGUAGGCAGAUGACCAUGACUACCCAGAGAGCAAUAUAGAGCUGGAUUGUUCAAGUCCAGGGAAUUGCUGAUGAGAUCGAGCCCACCUGGAGCAAGUGAGAACCUGAUUGUGAG